AUUGAACGCUGGCGGCAGGCCUAACACAUGCAAGUCGAGCGGAUGAAGGGAGCUUGCUCCUGGAUUCAGCGGCGGACGGGUGAGUAAUGCCUAGGAAUCUGCCUUGUAGUGGGGGAUAACGUCCGGAAACGGGCGCUAAUACCGCAUACGUCCUGAGGGAGAAAGUGGGGGAUCUUCGGACCUCACGCUAUCAGAUGAGCCUAGGUCGGAUUAGCUAGUUGGUGGGGUAAAUGCCUACCAAGGCGACGAUCCGUAACUGGUCUGAGAGGAUGAUCAGUCACACUGGAACUGAGACACGGUCCAGACUCCUACGGGAGGAAGCAGUGGGGAAUAUUGGACAAGGGGCGAAAGCCUGCUCCAGCCAUGCCGCGUGUGUGAAGAAGGUCUUCGGAUUGUAAAGCACUUUAAGUGGGGAGAAAGGGGAGUAAGUUAAUACGUUGCUGUAUUGACGUUACCAACAGAAUAAGCACCGGCUAACUUCGUG
rnacentral:rRNA from 1 species